AAUACUGCCCACAGCAUUUAUGCCUUAGGGGUUGAGGGAUUAAAGGAAUAUAUCAAGACCAUUGGCCUUUAUAACAACAAAGCCGUUAAUGUGAUCAAAGCCUGCGAGAUCUUAAUCGAGAAGUACAAUGGUGAAGUGCCAGAAGAUAGAGAAGCCCUUGAAGCAUUACCUGGUGUGGGCCGGAAAACCGCGAACGUGGUGCUCAAUACCGCCUUUGGCUGGCCGACCAUUGCCGUAGAUACUCAUAUUUUUCGUCUUGCCAAUCGCACUAAAUUUGCCCCCGGUAAAAACGUGGUCGAAGUAGAAGAACGGAUGCUAAAAGUUGUGCCGGAUGAGUUUAAAGUGGAUGUACAUCAUUGGUUUAUUCUGCACGGCCGCUACACAUGCUUAGCACGAAAGCCACGCUGUGGCAGUUGCAUUAUUGAGGAUUUGUGUGAGUUUAAAGAGAAGGUUUAUCCCGAAGAAUAAACCUAUUGAACAGACAAUCCCAUUACACAUGGAAUUGUCUGUUUAAAAUGCUAAAUCAGCAACGCUUCCGGUAUUGGCCACUUUGCCACGAGCCACUCCCCUUGCCAUGUUUGAAUAGAGAUCCAUAAACUAUCACUCGAUGACAGUUUUGCCCCCGCAAUGGCAUGCACAUGUUGUCCAUAUUUACUGCCAUGGAGCACACCAUUUUCCCCUUGUUGUAGCUGGCUAAUUGGUAAUGCCUCAGGCCCAAUAUUGGCAUAACCUUGUCGAAUUAGCCCUGUCUCCCCUUUUUCAAAAAUCAACAUAAAAUCCUUCACAUAUUCAUCGUGAUGUUGAUAAGGAGCCUUCAUAUUCAAUGGCAUAGGCGCAAUUUUAAACUCACCUAAUUCCUGUGCCUGCCAUGCGGGAGGAAAGUUCGGUGUUAAUGAUUGGUACAAGAAUAAAAAUGGCAAGACUAAGAUCAAUCCAUUUAAUUUAUAUUUAUUCUUUUGCCAAAACAGUGCUCGAUUAAACGCCAUUAGCGAAUCUCCCCCAACAUAUCGGCAGCUAAGUCAUCAGAUCCUGCUUUUUUAAAGGCUCUGACAUGACGCAAUCCCCACAUCAUAAAGCCCGUAAUUGACAUACCCGACAAAAUUAAACCAAACACAAACCAAAUAAACUUGGUCCAAAUUCCCCCAAUCGUGCCAUAGUGCAGCGGAUCGGCAAUGUGCAUGAUGGUUUGCAUGCCCGUCAUGGUUUCGGGUGAUGAUGCUUUCGCUAUUUCCCCCGUCCAAGGAUUAAUACUCAGGCUAUAGGAAUGUUGGUCAUAAAAAAUAUGAUCACCACUACCACUAAGGUGAUACAUAUCCCGGUUAUGCUCUGGCAGCAUCACAUAACUAGGUUGAAAAUCAGGGAAACGCUCCUUUGCAAUCAUAAGAGCUUGAUUAAGUGAUACCGCAGGAAUGGGUAUAGUUGUCUCUCCCUCUUUAAGCAAGGGAACUUGCUCCGCCACAAUUAACGGCGCAUGAGGCUCGAUAUCAAUAUCAGCAUGCCAAAAAACAGCUUGGACUAAAUACCAUAAUCCUGUUGCACUCAUAAUGGCGAUAAACCAAAUUGACCAAACACCAGAUAAUUUGUGUAAAUCCGCUAGCAGUGUUUUUUUCCCUUGCGUAAUACGCACUUUAGGUGCCAAAAAACUACGCCAAAACCGCUUAUAAACAAUUAAUCCGGUAAUUAAAGACGCCAGCAUCAAUACCGCCAUAGAGCAGACAAGGUAAUACCCUACGCUAUAACUACCAGGCCAUGGAAAUAAUAACCAACCAUGUAAUGAACGCAUAAAACCAAUAAAAGUCAGCCCUUCGUUAAUUUGCUGAACGUCACCCGUGUAUUGAUUCACAUAAGCAAUUGCAUAGGGUUUAUCCACAUCGGUAAACAUCACUGCAUUGACAAGAUAAGGCUCGAAGGUCAUAGCCCCACUGAUUUCUGCUGUAGGAUGAGCCUUUUUUACCGCCGCCAUUAAUUCAUCAACCGACUUUGCUGGCAAAUUGUUUGGAUUAACGGCGCGGGAUGCAGGAUUAGUGAGCCACGUCAGUUCGUGGCUAAGUACUGCAAUCGUCCCCGUUAAACAGAUAAAACUAAAUAACAACCAGAUUGGGAGUGAUACCCAACCAUGCAACAUAAACCAAAAUCGGUUACUAACCUUCGCCAUAUGUGAUUAUCCCAACACUUUUACAAUUUGGUGAGUGUAAAUGUAAUACGAAUUGUUAUCAAUACGGUGUGUUGAUAAUUGUUUUCAAUUAGAAUGCAGCUCACAAAAAACAAUGAUGGGGAAUCAUGAUGCAAAAAUCGCUGUUAGCUACACUCAUUUCAAGUCUUUUAUUAGCGCCAAGCUCCUACGCUAAUGAGCCUCAGUCCACUACUGAUAUUGAAGUCAUCAGUAUUAAGGGAAGUCGUUUAGAUAAAGCCGCAACGGCAACUGGGUUGCCCUUAACGCUGCGAGAAACGCCACAAUCAGUCACCAUUAUUGAUCAAGAGUUUAUUCAAAGUUUCUCACUCAAUAGUGUCGCGGACUUAAUGUUUUUAACCCCUGGCAUUUAUGCUCAAAAAGCCGAGACCAACCGCUAUUUCUUUAGCUCCCGAGGUAAUCCCAUUACUAAUUUUCAGUUUGAUGGCGUCCCCGUUAACUACUCGAGUUUCUUUAAUGACGCCUCAACCGACACCAUAUUAUUUGACCGCGUUGAAGUUGUCCGCGGUGCAACAGGACUCUUAACGGGUGCGGGUGAACCAUCUGCAGCAAUUAACCUUAUCCGUAAACGUCCUAAAGCGGCACCUGGCGGCUAUGUCAGCGCAAAAGUCGGUGCAUGGGAUAGUUACCGUGUUGAAGGCGAUGCCUCCGUUGAUGUAACAGAGAGUGGUGAUGUGCAGGCACGCUUUGCCGCCGCC
rnacentral:rRNA from 1 species